rnacentral:rRNA from 1 species
AGAGUUUGAUCAUGGCUCAGGAUGAACGCUGGCGGUAUGCUUAACACAUGCAAGUCGAACGAAUCCCUUCGGGGAUUAGUGGCGGACGGGUGAGUAACGCGUGAGAAUUUACCAAAAGGACCGGGACAACCACUGGAAACGGUGGCUAAUACCGGAUGAGCCGAAAAGUAAAAAGGGAAACCUGCCUUUUGAAGAGCUCGCGUCUGAUUAGCUAGUUGGUGAGGUAAGAGCUCACCAAGGCAGCGAUCAGUAGCUGGUCUGAGAGGAUGACCAGCCACACUGGGACUGAGACACGGCCCAGACUCCUACGGGAGGCAGCAGUGGGGAAUUUUCCGCAAUGGGCGCAAGCCUGACGGAGCAAUACCGCGUGAGGGAGGAAGGCUCUUGGGUCGUAAACCUCUUUUCUCAGGGAAGAACACAAUGACGGUACCUGAGGAAUCAGCAUCGGCUAACUCCGUGCCAGCAGCCGCGGUAAUACGGAGGAUGCAAGCGUUAUCCGGAAUGAUUGGGCGUAAAGCGUCCGCAGGUGGCAGUGUAAGUCUGCUGUCAAAGGUCAGGGCUCAACCCUGAACAGGCAGUGGAAACUACACAGCUAGAGUGCGGUGGGGGCAGAGGGAAUUCCCAGUGUAGCGGUGAAAUGCGUAGAGAUUGGGAAGAACACCGGUGGCGAAAGCGCUCUGCUGGACCUUAACUGACACUGAGGGACGAAAGCUAGGGGAGCGAAUGGGAUUAGAUACCCCCGUAGUCC